CAUGUAUGUCUGUAUACCGCGUGUGUGCCUGGUGCCCAGGACGGCUAGAAGAGGAUGUCAAAUCUGCUGAGACUAACUGUCAUGUGAGACCUGGGAAUGAAGCCUGGGUCCUCUGGAAAGCAGCAGGACUUUUUCUCCAGCCCCUCUCCUUGCUCAACUUUAAUGUUACUUAGAUGGUGGACUACUGCAGACUAGAGCUGGCAUAUGGCUUCUACAAGAAAGAACCGAUUCAGCUGAGAUCUAAAAGAUGAAAAGGAUCCAGUCUUGUGCAGUGGGUUGAGGAUGAAUAUUUGCAAGCAGAGGAUGGCCCAAAAAGUGGUGCUACCUCUGGGGAGUGGAAUAAAAAGUGUCUGCCAGAACCUCUAAGAAACAAGGGAUCACAGGAUUUGACAUUUGAGAGACUCAGGUCGGAUUUGAGAGACAUGAUCAGAUUUGCAUUAGGAAGAGAUAAGUACAAGAUCUGCAGGAGAGAGGCCUCACCAGACUGCUUGCAGGAGUAAGUAAGCCUGGCUGGAUGUAAAGCAAGCACGACCCGGAAGAAAAGAUUACCGUGGAUGGGGAGACAGCAGGCAUGAUGGGACUUGCCUUCUUGUCUCCGAGUUCUUUCUUGAACAAUGUUUAUAACUGUCGGCUGGGUGCUACUUUAAUGAUCUAAUGUUUAGUUGUAAUUGCCAUAUUCCUCCCGCCCGCGAGAUCAAUGCCUCUUGUACAACUAUACAGAACGAGAUGCAAGUAGAGAGCUCAGAAGACUUCAAGAGAAAUGAGUUGACAAGGUCUAGGCGGCCCAUCUUCCUCCAAGCACAGGCAAAACCACCACCUGCUUGGGACUGGGUGAUGGUAGGACACAGGACGUUAGGCCGACGGUAGGAAAGAGACAACAGGACCCGUCAGAUCGGCGUGAAAUGGGUCCGGGGAAACGGGACGCCUCUGUACCCUGAAUUCCAACAGCAAGCUCAGGCCACGGUUAUUUCCUUCUCCGGAUGUCCACAGAGGGCCCGAACUCUGGCGAGGCGGGGAUUCAGGCAGAAGGGGUGGAGUUGGGGCUUGAGCUUAACCUAUUACAUGCACCCAGAGCCUCCCCACCGGUGAUUGGCAGGCGUGUCUACCAGUGUUUUCGCGUCCCGCGAACCUAGCUGCUGUUGUCAGGUCCCCGGGGUGUUUCCCUUUGAGUCACUGGGGUUAAUUAACUAACCGCUCCCAGCUAGGGGACCUAAGAGUACUGCCAUCUACCCCUGCCAUGAAAAGGGAGCUUCUUGGUCCCAUUGGAGUAUUCUUUAGUGCCUGAGGCAGGGCUUGGUACCCUGGGUAAGGGAGUUAACUGCUCCCGAUGUUCCCACUCAUUCUCUAGCUCACGAUUCUUUUUUUUUUUUUUUUUUUUUUUGCUUAAGUGGAAUAAGGCGACAUUUAUAGUUUGAAGUGCCUUUCCCCGUGCAAACACUUAUCGCAGUCCUUAUCCCCUCCCUCAAAGGUAAUGCGACCCCUCCAGUGAAGGACUAUCAGCGCAGAUCACAUUCCUUCACUUAGCAAGUAACUUCAAAUUAUCUUAUAUUUAAUAUUGCAAGCCUUGAGUGAGAAGGUUCAUAAAACAUGAAAAGUGUUUCGAAGUGCUUAUGCAUUCCUGGUGAGAAAGUGGGGUAGUUGCCGGUUUGGUUUCAGCACCCACAUGGCAGCCUCCAACUGUCUGGUUCCAGGAGACCCAGUGCCCUCGGGCAAGCAUGAAGUACGUGCAGAGAAAUCCUUCAUACAAUAAAAAUAACUCUCCAGACUUUGACCUGGAAAAGGAAGUAAAAACGUUCAGAGCUUACAAAACGCUCUUUUUCAAAAGUGUUACAUUCAACUCCAAAUAAAUGUAUGCAGUAUUUGCAGCGUGGGUUCCAAAGAACGAGAAUUCUAGAUACCCAGCCCCACACAGUGUAUUAUUCAGACUCCACUUUGUCAGGUACUUGAAAAUUGAUCAUAUUGAUUGUCCCCCCAUACCCACAGAAAAACUGUUAGCUUCAAACUAGCUCCUUCUUUUGUUUUCUUUCUUUCUUUCUUUCUUUCUUUCUUUCUUUCUUCCU